rnacentral:rRNA from 1 species
GACAGAGGGUGCGAACGUUGUUCGGAAUUACUGGGCGUAAAGCGCAUGUAGGCGGCAGCGCAAGUCGGGCGUGAAAUCCCACGGCUCAACCGUGGAAGUGCACUCGAAACUGCGCAGCUAGAGUCCUGGAGAGGAAGGUGGAAUGCUUGGUGUAGAGGUGAAAUUCGUAGAUAUCAAGCGGAACACCGGUGGCGAAGGCGGCCUCUGGACAGUGACUGACGCUGAGAUGCGAAAGC